GGAGUCAACCGGGUAGUCGCUGUGUCGAUGCGAUGCAGAGGAAAGUCCGGGCUCCAAGGGCAGGGUGCCAGGUAACGCCUGGGGAGUGCGAGCUCACGGAAAGUGCCACAGAGAAAAGACCGCCAACCCCCGGCGGGCAGCCGGUAACGGUCCGGCCGGUCGGGGCGGCAAGGGUGAAAAGGUGCGGUAAGAGCGCACCGCGCCGGCUAACGCCGGUGGCAGGGUAAACCCCACCUGGAGCAAGGCCAAAUAGGGGAGCGAGCCCCCCAUGAGGGGUGGCGACACGUGGCCCGCGUGGGCUCCCGGGUAGGUCGCUAGAGGUGCAUGGUGACAUGCAUCCAAGAUAAAUGACUGCCCCGCUAAGGCCAUUGUGUGCCGCGGCGGACAGAACCCGGCUUACAGGUUGACUCCUGCA
rnacentral:RNase_P_RNA from 1 species